rnacentral:rRNA from 1 species
AGAGUUUGAUCCUGGCUCAGGAUGAACGCUAGCGGCAGGCCUAACACAUGCAAGUCGAGGGGCAGCACAGGUAGCAAUACUGGGUGGCGACCGGCGCACGGGUGAGUAACGCGUAUGCAACCUACCUUUAACAGGAGAAUAGCCCCGAGAAAUCGGGAUUAAUACUCCAUAUCAUUUAUGAAUCGCAUGGUUUAUAAAUAAAAGUUACGACGGUUAAAGAUGGGCAUGCGUGACAUUAGCUAGUUGGUGAGGUAACGGCUCACCAAGGCUACGAUGUCUAGGGGUUCUGAGAGGAUUAUCCCCCACACUGGUACUGAGACACGGACCAGACUCCUACGGGAGGCAGCAGUGAGGGAUAUUGGUCAAUGGUCGCAAGACUGAACCAGCCAUGCCGCGUGCAGGAUGAAGGUUCUAUGAAUCGUAAACUGCUUUUCUAAGGGAAGAAACCUACUUACGUGUAAGUAGUUGCCGGUACUUUAGGAAUAAGCAUCGGCUAACUCCGUGCCAGCAGCCGCGGUAAUACAGAGGGGGCAAGCGUUAUUCGGAAUUAUUGGGCGUAAAGGGCGCGUAGGCGGUCUUUUAAGUCAGAUGUGCAAUCCCCGAGCUCAACUUGGGAACUGCAUCUGAGACUGGAAGACUCGAGUGCUGGAGAGGGUGGUAGAAUUCCACGUGUAGCGGUGAAAUGCGUAGAGAUGUGGAGGAAUACCAGUGGCGAAGGCGGCCACCUGGACAGUAACUGACGCUGAGGUGCGAAAGUGUGGGUAGCAAACAGGAUUAGAUACCCUGGUAGUCC